GGACGUGAGGGCGAUCUGGCUGCGAUAUCUGUCACCCCAUUGAUCGCCAGGGUUGAUUUGGCCGAUCUGGCUGGCUAUGCGGGUGUCCCCUUUCUCUCUCACCGCUCCACGUGCGUCCCUCCUGAAGCUGCGUGCUUGGUCAAAGAGGGUGACCUUCCCUGAUAGAGGAGAGGACCGUUCUUCCGUCAAGGGUAUACGAAUAGCUGUGCUCCUCUGCUAGAACCUCCAAACAAGCCAAAAAAAAAAAAAAAAAANNN
rnacentral:sRNA from 1 species